UCAAGUGACUAAGUGUAUGUGGUGGAUGCCUUGGCGAUCACAGGCGAAGAAGGACGUAGUAGCUUGCGAUAAGCUGCGGGGAGCCGGCAAACGGGCAUUGAUCCGCAGAUUUCCGAAUGGGGGAACCCACCGACGUAAGUCGGUAUCACACACUGAAUACAUAGGUGUGUGAGGCGAACGGAGCGAACUGAAACAUCUAAGUAGCUCCAGGAAAAGAAAUCAACCGAGAUUGCGAAAGUAGCGGCGAGCGAAAUCGCAGCAGCCCAGUGUUCUGAUAGCACGAACGACAGCAGAAGGGUCUGGAAAGGCCUGCUAUAGAGGGUGAUAGCCCCGUAUGCGAAAUCGGACGUGUGGUACUAAGGAACCGAUAAGUAGGGCGGGACACGUGACAUCCUGUCUGAAGAUGGGGGGACCAUCCUCCAAGGCUAAAUACUCGUGAUCGACCGAUAGUGAACCAGUACUGUGAAGGAAAGGUGAAAAGAACCCCGGGAGGGGAGUGAAAUAGAACCUGAAACCGCAUACAUACAAACAGUAGGAGCCCGUGUAGUCGGGUGACUGCGUACCUUUUGCAUAAUGGGUCAGCGACUUACGUUUUGUGGCGAGCUUAACCGAGUAGGGGAGGCGUAGCGAAAGCGAGUUCGAAUAGAGCGAGAAGUCUCAAGGCGUAGACCCGAAACCAGAUGAGCUAUCCAUGGCCAGGUUGAAGGUGUGGUAACACACACUGGAGGACCGAACCGACUAGUGUUGCAAAAUUAGCGGAUGAGCUGUGGAUAGGGGUGAAAGGCUUAACAAAUCUGGAGAUAGCUGGUUCUCCCCGAAAACUAUUGAGGUAGUGCCUCGUGUAUUGCUCCAGGGGGUAGAGCACUGUUAUGGCUAGGGGGACAUGGCGUCUUACCAAACCAUGGCAAACUCCGAAUACUUGGAAGUAAGAGCACGGGAGACAGAGCACCGGGUGCUAACGUCCGGACUCAAGAGGGAAACAACCCAGACCGCCGUUUAAGGUCCCAAAUAUUGACUAAGUGGAAAACGAAGUGUGAAGGCUAAGACAGUCAGGAAGUUGGCUUAGAAGCAGCCAUCCUUCAAAGAAAGCGUAAUAGCUCACUGAUCGAGUCCUCAUGCGCGGAAGAUGUAACGGGGCUAAGUCAAUAACCGAAAGCGCGGAUUUGCACGAUGAGUGCAAGUGGUAGGGGAGCGUUCUGUAAGCCUGCGAAGGUGGUUCGAGAGGACUGCUGGAGGUAUCAGAAGUGCGAAUGCUGACAUGAGUAACGUUAAAGCGGGUGAAAAGCCCGCUCGCCGUAAGCCCAAGGUUUCCUGCUCUACGUUCAUCGGAGCAGGGUGAGUCGGCCCCUAAGGCCAGGCUGAGAAGCGUAGUCGAUGGGAAGCAGAUUAAUAUUUCUGCACCAUGUGCAAGUGCGAUGGGGGGACGGAGUGCGAAAGAUCAUCCGGGUGUUGGAUGUCCCGGUUUGUGAGUGUAGAAGGCCGACAGGCAAAUCCGUCGGCAGAUCUUCGAGACAAAGCAUCGAGGUUCUACGGAACCGAAGUGAUCGGAAGUGCUUCCAGGAAAAGCCUCUAAGCUCCAGCUUGCAUGUGACCGUACCGUAAACCGACACUGGUGGGCGAGUUGAAUAUACUCAGGCGCUUGAGAGAACUCGGGAGAAGGAACUCGGCAAAUUGACACCGUAACUUCGGGAUAAGGUGUGCCUUUGUAGCGUGAAGAGAGAAACACUCGGAGCGUGAAGAGGCCUCAGAGAAUCGGUGGCUGCAACUGUUUAUUAAAAACACAGCACUCUGCAAAGACGAAAGUCGACGUAUAGGGUGUGAUGCCUGCCCGGUGCUGGAAGAUUAAGUGAUGGGGUGAGAGCUCCUGAUCGAAGUCCCAGUAAACGGCGGCCGUAACUAUAACGGUCCUAAGGUAGCGAAAUUCCUUGUC
rnacentral:rRNA from 1 species